rnacentral:piRNA from 1 species
UAUGAACCAAUAGAAGAGAGGGAUGUGA